rnacentral:tRNA from 1 species
AGUGUCAAGGGAUGGGAUUCGAACCCACGACCUUCCGCUUACCGGGCAGAUGCCAUGACCACUAGGCCACAUGACC